GACGAACGCUGGCGGCGUGCUUAACACAUGCAAGUCGAACGGUAAGGCCCUUCGGGGUACACGAGUGGCGAACGGGUGAGUAACACGUGGGUGAUCUGCCCUGCACUUCGGGAUAAGCCUGGGAAACUGGGUCUAAUACCGGAUAGGACCACUGCCUGCAUGGGUGGUGGUGGAAAGCUUUUGCGGUGUGGGAUGGCCCGCGGCCUAUCAGCUUGUUGGUGGGGUGAUGGCCUACCAAGGCGACGACGGGUAGCCGGCCUGAGAGGGUGACCGGCCACACUGGGACUGAGAUACGGCCCAGACUCCUACGGGAGGCAGCAGUGGGGAAUAUUGCACAAUGGGCGCAAGCCUGAUGCAGCGACGCCGCGUGAGGGAUGACGGCCUUCGGGUUGUAAACCUCUUUCGGCACCGACGAAGCGCAAGUGACGGUAGGUGCAGAAGAAGGACCGGCCAACUACGUGCCAGCCGCCGCGGUAA
rnacentral:rRNA from 1 species